GAACGCACAUUGCGCCCGCUAGUAUUCUGGCGGGCAUGCCUGUUCGAGCGUCAUUUCAACCAUCAAGUCCCCGGGCUUGCGUUGGGGCCCUGCGGCUGCCGCAGGCCCCUAAAACCAGUGGCGGGCUCGCUGUCACACCGAGCGCAGUAGCAAUAUCUCGCUCUGGGCGUGGCGGGGGGUGCUUGCCGUAAAACACACCACUUUCAGAAGGUUGACCUCGGAUCAGGUAGGAAUACCCGCUGAACUUAAG
rnacentral:misc_RNA from 1 species